ensembl:lncRNA
AUUCUUUGGCUUUUUAUUAUUAGAGUUACAGUCAUACAUAUUUUCAGAAGCUUGUAUUUAAUCUCUAUAAGAAACAAUCAUAUUUAGCAGCAUGCAAAUUACACAUUUGAGAAAACUACGUAUUUCUAUUGGAAGAUCAUGAGGGAGGAAAAUAUAUGGUUCUCCAAAAGAGAAAAAUAAAGAAAAACUCCAUAUUAUGGAGUUGACAAGGUGCUGACGGUGGUGACACAAAUCUGACGGUGGUGACACACUAGUAAAAAACAAGAUAUUAUUUCUUUCAAAAUGACAAUUAAACCUUAACAACUUACAUAAUAUCACAAGACACAUCAUAACAAUUCUGUUUUUGCACAUGUCAAGUUCUACAUCUUAAUAGUUCACCAGCCAGUAGCUGCCUGCUCCUUGAUUCCUAAAGUUCUCUGUGGUUGUGUUUAGACCCUGCUGGACUUUCUCUCCUUUUGUCUCUGUGCUUGUUUCCAAAACCUUCUCUUCUGCCUUUUUUCUUUCUUUCAGAUCACUGAUGUUCUUUAUUUUUCCCUCUUUCACUCUAUUUCUCCAUCUUUCCCUUUAUGAGAAACUCUUUCUUCAACUCAGGCUGGCUGUUAAUUUUUUCUCUCCUUUUUUGAUCAUUCCUGUUCCUUCUCUUUCGUUCCUCUACUGACAGCUUCCCCUUUGCCAUUCUAGCCUGAAACAUACCAUUUUGUAAUUACUAUAAUUUUUCUGAACCAUAUGAAUUCAUUUGGAUUUUAUCUGGCGAACAUGUUUUUUCUCUCAUCUCACGAAUCACUGAUUCACGAGAUUUUCAGAAAACUUUACCUGUAGGAUUCAAACUAAUGGUAUCAAUUUAAAAAUCCUACGUUGCCUCGUUCUCGCAUUGACUUGAGUAUCCACACCGACUGCCUGGCAGGGUGACAAUACCCCAUCAGCCUUUGAGAUGUGAGAAUGUUGUAUAAAGUGCUUUGAAAGGACUUCAAGGAAAAUUUUAAGUUUCGGUGUGAUUUUUAAUGUACGGUUUAUAUAUAGGUGAUGGUUCUGGUUUUCAUUGACCAGUGCCAUGUUCUUAAUAAAGUGCACAUUUUAUGGCAUAAAUUUGCAACAUGUACACUUCAUUUGAGAAGGUUUCUUCAGUUGAUUAAGGCUGGCAGCUCCACUGUUCUCUGUGCGCGUAGAGAAUAAUCUCUUUGUUUUUGUCUCUGGACAGCUUUGGACACCUUCAUCCUCGGUGUCAGAAUCAAGGUUGAUGAUGUCAUCCUUUUCUGAAGACUUGCUUCUGUUCCCCGUUUGACUUGGUUGUAAGUUUGCCAUCUCAUGGUCUUCAUUUUCUUUUUCAGAACCAGAGUCAUUUUUCUCUGCUGACGCAGGCGCUGACAGGUUACUUAACCACUGUUUGGACACGGUCAGAUAGUUACGUCCUGAAUCAGCAGAGUAAUCGGAACUAUCGUCAGUUUCACAACUGUCAUCAGGAGCACUAUGUGACUCCCUAUUUUGUGGUCUCUGAGCUUUAGUCUCAGUUGUGCCCCAGGAAGAAGGCACCAUGAAGGACUGUUGCAUUGUCUCUCUAGAUUGUAUGACUUUUGCUAGAUGAGAAGGUGUU